GUAGAAUUUCAAGGAACAAAAUAAAAAGCACGAUCAUAUAUUUUGGGGACUUAGGUAGGGUUUAUUUUACUGAUUUUCCUUUCAUUCGCGAAAAGAGGAAUCUGAAAGAGAGAAUUUGAGGAAAAAGAUGAUUUAUCGGAAGUGGAGUCUCCUUACCGGUCCGGUCACCAUCCUCGGCGGGGUAGUCGCUGCCAUUGCCGCCGCAAACGUCAUAUUCGUCAAGAAUGAUCCGUUCCUCAAACCAGAUGAGAGAAAGUAUGAAAAUCAACCUGCUACCAAGUAGGAGAAAAGAGAUAACGGAAGUUUGUGUUUUGAUGUCAGCUAAAUCCUGAUUUAUGAGCUGUAUACUGUUUUGCAAGACAUGCUCUCUAGUUAAUAAGACUGAGAUUCUGAAUGAAGUUUGGACUCUGGAGCGUGAACCCUUAUUUUAGAACUAAUCUUCCAAAGUUCUAGAAAACUGGUUCAUAUUUCAGAGAUCCGUACUUAUCUCUUCUGUAUAAUGUCAACUGCAAAUGUUUAAUGUGGUUUCUAAUAUUCCAUUUCUUUCUUUAUUUCUAUCAAUUUACUGUUAUCGCUUGCAAUUUUGGAUUAUUAUGGUAAAAUUAUUGUGGCAAAAGUCACUUCUUUCUAUGCAUACUGGUUAUAUUGACUGACUGUUAUACCUCAGAUAUGGGUUAUAAAAAUUAGUGUAAGAUUGAUGUUGUGUUGUAUUGCAUAUGUGACGAACUUAGCUUCAAGCAUAAGAUGUCUUCUUACAAAUUCAAAAUUCCACAGUUUUGGAUAUUGGUCA
rnacentral:sRNA from 1 species